GGCUCAGAACGAACGCUGGCGGCAUGCCUAACACAUGCAAGUCGAACGAGACCUUCGGGUCUAGUGGCGCACGGGUGCGUAACGCGUGGGAAUCUGCCCUUGGGUUCGGAAUAACAGCGAGAAAUUGCUGCUAAUACCGGAUGAUGACGUAAGUCCAAAGAUUUAUCGCCCAAGGAUGAGCCCGCGUAGGAUUAGCUAGUUGGUGAGGUAAAAGGCUCACCAAGGCGACGAUCCUUAGCUGGUCUGAGAGGAUGAUCAGCCACACUGGGACUGAGACACGGCCCAGACUCCUACGGGAGGCAGCAGUGGGGAAUAUUGGACAAUGGGCGAAAGCCUGAUCCAGCAAUGCCGCGUGAGUGAUGAAGGCCUUAGGGUUGUAAAGCUCUUUUACCCGGGAUGAUAAUGACAGUACCGGGAGAAUAAGCUCCGGCUAACUCCGUG
rnacentral:rRNA from 1 species